rnacentral:rRNA from 1 species
CCUUGCAAUCAAGAAUAUAUGCAUGAGCAAGUUUCUGAAGUACAUGAGCACAAUAGGUGCUGCAUCCCAGAGUAAUAGCAGCCUGAAUUGAUGAUAGAAUCCAUUGCUUGAAUGUAUUGGAUGAAGUGGAUGUGUAAAGGGACAGGAGGGACCUCAUUCCUUCUAGCCUUAAUCUCACAAAAGGAUCUAUCUUUCACAGAUGAUAUCCUCCAUCCUUUCCCCUUGACUCUUCUUGAAGAUAUUUCUGGAUGUCCUCAAGAGCAGCUGAAGACUGAAGCAUAGUUGAUGCUUCUCAGAGUUUUCCCUCCCUGAUCUCAUCAUCCCAAUGAUUGUCAGCAGAGCUUUCCAGGAGUGUGUUGCUAAGUGAAGUGAUCAAGGAAGGUGAAGGUGUGGGAUGUUGCCUGCCAAGAAUAGAUGGAGCAUCAUGAUCAGAGGAGUCAUCAGAUGUGAAUUUUACUGCUGGGAGCUUAAAUUCCAGCAAUGUAGAGGGUUGAGGGCCAGUAGGGGGUUCUGGGCUAGAGAAACUAUCAAAUACACCAGUGGUAUAAGAUGAAUUUCCCUCCGAAAAUGGGUCUUCAUCUGGUAGUGUCGCCACACUCAAGGCUUUAAUCUGAGUGACAACAUCAUCAUGGACCAGUUCUUUGGUACAAGAUUGUUUCUUUUCCUUAUAGGGUGACAAGAACUCGAUGACCCUUUUUGCAGUGUUUUUGAAGUUAUUGAGGUGAUUUUGCAUGUAUUGUUUCUGUUGAGGCAUUGAGAAGUACUCAGAGGACUGUAAAUUACAUGUCACGACACAUUGCGACCACAAAAUAAUGAACUCCUCCCUCAUUUCCCCAUUUAGUGCCAGAAUUUUUCGAUUUAUUGAAAGUAAUACCAUAUAUCUACAAGAUGUUGGAGCUGGAUUUGGCAUAAACUACCUCUAUAAGUAUAAACCUAUUAUUUUAUGAUAUUUUAUCCUGUUUUGGUGAUGUCACACACAUCAUGUGAUGCUGGUUGGGUAUGGAUGUGGCCUACCUUAGCAGAAACUCAUAUCAGAUUUAUGUGAUAAAGUGAAUGAUUAGAGGCCUUGGGGUUGAAACAACCUUAACCUAUUCUCAAACUUUAAAUAUGUAAGAAUGAGCCAUUUCUUGACUGAACUGCUUGGUGAUUGAGAGUUUCUAGUGGGCCAUUUUUGGUAAGCAGAACUGGCGAUGUGGGAUGAACCAAACAUGAGGUUAAGGUGCUGGAAUUCAUGCUCGCUGGGCACCACAAAAGGUGUUAGUUCAUUUAGAUAGCAGGAUGGUGGCCAUAGAAGUCAGAAUCCACUAAGGAGUAUGUAACAACUCACCUGCCAAAUGAACUAGCCCUGAAAAUGGAUGGCACUUAAGUGUGAUACCCAUACCUCACCAUCAGCAUUGAAGUGAUGCACUGAUGAGUAGGCAGGCAUGGAGGUCAGUGAAAAAGCCUUGGCAGUGAUGCUGGGUGAAACAGCCUCUAGUGCAGAUCUUGGUGGUAGUAGCAAAUAUUCAAGUGAGAACCUUGAAGACUGAAGUGGAGAAAGGUUCCAUGGUAACAGCAGUUGGACAUGGGUCAGUUGAUCCUAAGAGAUAGGGAAGCUCUGUUUCAAAGUGCAUGAUUUUUCAUGCUGCCUAUCAAAAGGGAAUCUGGUUAAAAUUCUGGAACCAGGAUGUGGAUCUUUAACAGCAAUGUAACUGAACUUGGAGAUAUUGGCAGGAGCCCUGGGAAGAGUUAUCUUUUCUCCUUAACAGUCUACCACCCUGAAAUCAGAUGGUCUGGAGCUAGUGUUAAAUGACUGGUAGAGCACAACACCUCUGUUAUGUCCAGUGUGUUUCUGACAAUCCUUGAAAACCCAAGGGAAUGAAUAAUUUUCAUAUCUGGUCAUAAUCAUAACCACAGCAGGUCUCCAAGGUGAACAGCCUCUAGUUGAUAGAACAAUGUAGAUAAGGGAAGUCAGCAAAAUAGAUCUGUAACUUCAGGAAAAGGAUUGGCUCUAAGGGUUGAGUGUGUCAGGCCUUGGCUGGAAGCCUUGGGACCCAGCUAGGACUGCUUGGGGAGUAACCUCUGGGUGGACCUGGCCAGGACCUGGGUGUGGAUGGCCUUGGCUGCCCUUCACAGAGUGUCUGGCACAUGCUUAACAACCAACUUAGAACUGGUAUAGACAAGGGGAAUCUGACUGUCUAAUUAAAACAUAGCAUUGCAAUGGCCAGAAAGUGGUGUUGAUGCAAUGUGAUUUCUGUCCAGUGCUCUGAAUGUCAAAGUGGAGAAAUUCAACCAAGCAUGGGUAAAUAGCAGGAGUAACUAUGACUCUCUUAAGGUAGCCAAAUGCCUCAUCAUCUAAUUAAUGAUGCACAUGAAUGGAUUAACAAGAUUCCCACUGUCUCUAUCUACUAUCUAGUGAAACCACAGCCAAGGGAAUGGGUGAUGGUAGUGAAUAGGCAUUAUCUUCCAAAAAUCUGCAAAAAUGCUACUGGGUAUCCAUGGAUCGAGCGAGAAACUAGGCAAGCUCUGAAGUUCAGGGCUGGCACAUGGCCCUGCAUGUCUUCAGUAAUUAAAGUGGAAAAGCUAGACUGUGUUGGCAAUAGCAUUUAAGCUGACAAGUAAUUGAAGGGUCAAUUACUAAUAUGCCUUGGUGACCCUAUACUAUGGAGAUAAAAGAGAUGUGGGUCACCUGCCACCAAAGAGUCCAUAAAAUAAAGAGAGUACAAAAGUUACUUAUCUCAACUGAGGGAACACAUUGAAAAACAAGGCCCUUGGUGACUCAUGUUACAUUCCAGGUGUGGCUGGGAGGUCAAUCUGAGGAGGUAAAGUGAGGGAGGCCUCCAAGCAGCACCUGCUGGAUGAUGGCAUGAGCCUGAGACUAACUUCCUUUGCCCAACACUCACAUGGACAUGAGGGCACUCCCCUCAAGCCCUAUGAU